UUUAACAUGUUGAAUUCAAGACAUCUUGGUGGAAAUAUCCUAUUGUUGAGUUGUGUGAAUGAGGAAGAGACUCUGCUUUCUGAGAGACAUCAGCCAAAGCCAGGGAACUGGAGAGACAGUACAAACUCCCCAGCGACAGGAAAGAAGAGUGAAAAAGAAUCAGAACUGCAGAAGGAGAACUCGCUGGCUUCAUUCACUCAACCUCCACAUCCAAGUCUCCACCAUCAGAUGCUAUUAACCAGGUACAGGUGCUUCUGAAUGAGCUUUAUGUACACAUCAGAGAGGACUCUUUCUUAAGAAAUAACUUUUGUUAAUUAUUGACUAUUUCUUACACUGUUGGGAUCAAACCCAGGGCCAUGUGCAUGCUAAGCAAGCCACUUCCCUAGUCCAAGAAAUAUUUUUUUUGAUUGGGGGGUACUAGGGAUUGAACACAAGGGAUUGAACUCAACCACUGAGCCACAUCCCCAACCCUAUUUUGUAUUUUAUUAGAGACAGGUCUCCCGGAGUUCUUAGCACCUUGCUUUUGCUGAGGCUGGCUUCAAACUCACCAUCCUCCUGCCUCAGCCUCCUGAACCGCUAGGAUUAUGGGCAUGCACCACUGCACCCAGAAAGAAAUGAUUUUGAAAACUGAAGAAGGCUGCAAGAACAGAUGGUCAAGAAACAAAACCAUGCAUAUUAUCUCCUAAAAAUGGCUUUGCCUGGAAAUCUGCAUUCCACUCUGCCUUUCUGUUUAAAUAAACCAAGAACUCUGACCCAGAAAUAAGUGCUGUCCCCACUGGCUGAGCUCCUCUGGGAAAGUCCCUCUCCUCUCCCUCUGAAGUUUGCUGACCAAAUGACCAUGACUUUAAAUCUAAAGCUGCCCAGUGUGCCCACUCACUGGCGGCUCAGUCUGGUCACUCAGCUGAGGAAUAAUGAC
rnacentral:lncRNA from 1 species